rnacentral:rRNA from 1 species
UACGUAGGGGGCAAGCGUUGUCCGGAAUCAUUGGGCGUAAAGAGCGUGUAGGCGGCCAGGUAGGUCAGCUGUGAAAACUCGAGGCUCAACCUCGAGCUGUCGGCUGAAACCAUCUGGCUAGAGUCCGGAAGAGGAGAAUGGAAUUCCCGGUGUAGCGGUGAAAUGCGCAGAUAUCGGGAAGAACACCCGUGGCGAAGGCGGCACUCUGGGCCGAUACUGACACUGAGGAGCGAAAGCGUGGGGAGCGAACAGG